CAACCUGCCCAUCACUUGGGGAUAACCUUGCGAAAGUAAGACUAAUACCCAAUGACAUCCAUAGAAGACAUCUGAAAUGGAUUAAAGAUUUAUCGGUGAUGGAUGGGGAUGCGUCUGAUCAGCUUGUUGGCGGGGUAACGGCCCACCAAGGCUACGAUCAGUAGGGGUUCUGAGAGGAAGGUCCCCCACAUUGGAACUGAGACACGGUCCAAACUCCUACGGGAGGCAGCAGUGAGGAAUAUUGGUCAAUGGACGAGAGUCUGAACCAGCCAAGUAGCGUGCAGGAUGACGGCCCUAUGGGUUGUAAACUGCUUUUAUAAGGGAAUAAAGUGAGUCUCGUGAGACUUUUUGCAUGUACCUUAUGAAUAAGGACCGGCUAAUUCCGUGCCAGCAGCCGCGGUAAUACGGAAGGUCCGGGCGUUAUCCGGAUUUAUUGGGUUUAAAGGGAGCGUAGGCCGGAGAUUAAGCGUGUUGUGAAAUGUAGAUGCUCAACAUCUGAAUUGCAGCGCGAACUGGCAGACUUGAGUGUGCGCAACGUAGGCGGAAUUCGUGGUGUAGCGGUGAAAUGCUUAGAUAUCACGAAGAACUCCGAUUG
rnacentral:rRNA from 1 species